UUCAAUGGGCGGGCGGUGGUGGGGGAGCCGCGAGGCUCGCCGGCAUGUUUCUGACCCGGUCUUCCAAACCCGCCACAUGCCCGCUCACCCGC
rnacentral:antisense_RNA from 1 species